rnacentral:rRNA from 1 species
CCUACGGGUGGCUGCAGUGGGGAAUAUUGCACAAUGGGGGAAACCCUGAUGCAGCGACGCCGCGUGAGUGAAGAAGUAUUUCGGUAUGUAAAGCGCUGUCAGCAGGGAAGAAAAUUACGAUACGGGAUUAAGAACCCCCGGCUAAAUCCGUGUCAGCAGCCGCUGUAAUACUAAGGGGGCAAGAGUUAGCCGGAUAUACAGGGUGGAAAGUGAGCGGGGACGGCGGCACGUGACUGGAGUGAAAUGCCUUGGCUUAAACCCGGGACUGCUUUGGAAACUGUGCAGCUAGAGUGGAGGAGAGGUAAGGGGAAUUCCUAGUGUAGCGGUGGAAUGCGUGGAAAUUAGGAGGAAAACCAGUGGCGGAGGCGGGUUACUGGACUGUAACUGACGUUGGGGGUAGAAAGCGUGGGGAGCAAAAAGGAAUUGAUAACCCGGGUAGUC